rnacentral:rRNA from 1 species
UACGUAGGGUGCAAGCGUUGUCCGGAAUUAUUGGGCGUAAAGAGCUCGUAGGCGGUCUGUCGCGUCUGGUGUGAAAAUCCAGGGCUCAACCCUGGACCUGCAUCGGGUACGGGCAGACUAGAGUGCGGUAGGGGAGAUCGGAAUUCCUGGUGUAGCGGUGAAAUGCGCAGAUAUCAGGAGGAACACCGGUGGCGAAGGCGGAUCUCUGGGCCGUAGCUGACGCUGAGGAGCGAAAGCAUGGGGAGCGAACAGG